AUUGAACGCUGGCGGCAUGCCUUACACAUGCAAGUCGAACGGUAACAGGUCUUCGGAUGCUGACGAGUGGCGAACGGGUGAGUAAUGCAUCGGAACGUGCCCAGUAGUGGGGGAUAGCCCGGCGAAAGCCGGAUUAAUACCGCAUACGACCUGAGGGUGAAAGGGGGGGAUCGCAAGACCUCUCGCUAUUGGAGCGGCCGAUGUCAGAUUAGCUAGUUGGUGGGGCAAAGGCCUACCAAGGCAACGAUCUGUAGUUGGUCUGAGAGGACGACCCUCCACACUGGGACUGAGACACGGCCCAGACUCCUACGGGAGGCAGCAGUGGGGAAUUUUGGACAAUGGGCGCAAGCCUGAUCCAGCAAUGCCGCGUGCAGGAAGAAGGCCUUCGGGUUGUAAACUGCUUUUGUCAGGGAAGAAAUCUUCUGGGUUAAUACCUCGGGAGGAUGACGGUACCUGAAGAAUAAGCACCGGCUAACUACGUGCCAGCCGCCGCCGUAAUAC
rnacentral:rRNA from 1 species